rnacentral:rRNA from 1 species
UACGUAGGGGGCAAGCGUUGUCCGGAUUUAUUGGGCGUAAAGAGCGUGUAGGCGGUUUGGUAGGUCCGUUGUGAAAACUCGAGGCUCAACCUCGAGACGCCGAUGGAAACCAUCAGACUAGAGUCCGGAAGAGGAGAGUGGAAUUCCUGGUGUAGCGGUGAAAUGCGCAGAUAUCAGGAGGAACACCGGUGGCGAAGGCGGAUCUCUGGGCCUUACCUGACGCUCAGGCGCGAAAGCUAGGGGAGCGAACAGG